GCGAAUGGCUCAUUAAAUCAGUUAUCGUUUAUUUGAUAGUACCUUACUACAUGGAUAACCGUGGUAAUUCUAGAGCUAAUACAUGCUAAAAACCUCGACUUCGGAAGGGGUGUAUUUAUUAGAUAAAAAACCAAUGCCCUUCGGGGCUCCUUGGUGAAUCAUAAUAACUUAACGAAUCGCAUGGCCUUGCGCCGGCGAUGGUUCAUUCAAAUUUCUGCCCUAUCAACUUUCGAUGGUAGGAUAGUGGCCUACCAUGGUAUCAACGGGUAACGGGGAAUUAGGGUUCGAUUCCGGAGAGG
rnacentral:rRNA from 1 species